UUGUUUAUUGAAUUUUUCCUUACUAUCUUUCCACAGACGAAAUGAAACCCUUGAUUCAUCUUUCCUUUGCAAAAAUGAAGCGGUAGCAAAAUCUUUCAAAACUCAUCAAUCUAAAAUUCACAUGAAACUCCUAAACCACAUCGUUCCUUUUUUUUCUUUCUGAGGUGUGGGGAUCGACUAUUUUUUUUUGGCUCUCAAACUGGUCGACAUCCAUUGCAAAUUAUGGUAUUGAAUGUCAACAUAAGCAUCUUUUAGGUCAAUUUCCAGUAAUCUGGUAUAGACGACUGCAAAAAAAUAUUGUCUGGGGACGUCUCCCUAACAUCAAAGAUAUCCAUGAGCUCAAGUAUACGGACACACCAAAUGCUAAAGGUCUUAUAGUUGAGUUGAACAUCGCAUUUUGAUAUGAUUUGGUAGAACAAUUCUGUGGCAUUAUUCCUAGGCAUCUUUCAGUAACAUAAAAGGAAAGGAAGAAAGAGAACGGCUAUAUCGUUUUUUUUUGCCGUGGUGGUGUGAAGGUUGCCAAGCCAUUUGAGAACCUUAACGAUCGGCAAGAGGAGUCUCUAAUUCAGAUAACAGAACUUCUAAUGCACGCUCCUACUGCAUCUGCACGACCUCCAUUUAGUAUAACUGGAAAAGUUUGACGGAAGUCUCCCCCCAUAACAACGUUCUACCCCCUACCAAAAGUAGUGAAGCAAUACCUAAUGAUACAACGAUUAGAAGUCGAGAAAUUUUAAUUCCCCGAUGCAAGGUGCAGUCAUACUGGAUAUAGAUCCUUGGUAUAUUAAUUAGGGAAUCAUGGUAUUUGAGAUGGAGGCAGUGAACUAUUAGGUUGUCAGGUACCUUGUGCUCCAAUUCUCUGGUUCUACGUUUUAUCUGGGACAAUACAAUCGCAUCCUUUCCUGUCAGUUCGCCAGUACAUGAGAUAUCUUUACCUUUUUGAUAAUACGGUAGUAUGGAUGAUAAUAUGAUAAUACUGUCAAUUUAUCUGAGGUUAAUAAAGUAUUACUCUAGCCCUUUCAAUAGCGAAUUGAUUAUGCUCCACAUGAAUGUUAGAUUCUUCGGUUAACUGUCAAUUUCAAAAUAUACGGAACCAAUUCAUAACUACAAUUUUCAUAUCAUAUUAGUAUUAUAUUAAAAUUAAUUUCUGCUAACCUACUUGAAGAUCUUGUAAUUCUUCUAUUUCUCUUUGCAGGCGAUCUUGUAGUUCUUUUGUUUCUCUUUCCUGACGUUCCUUUUCUUCUCUCUCUCUUUGUCUACGUGCUCUCUGUGCCAAGGAUGCCGCCUGUUUAAGAGAUUUCCAAAACAGAAUCACACAUCAAUAAAUUCUGGAUUUUCAUAACAUGGGUUAUUGCAAUCAUGUGAUUAUUUUUUUGUUUUGUUUUGUUUUGUUUUUUUACUAUUGAUUUCUCAAUCAUGUGAUUAUUUUUUGGUUUUGUUUUUUUACCAUUGAUUUCUCUUUCUUUGGACGUUCUCUAUUAUGAGAAUGAAGUUCCAUCGUCA